rnacentral:rRNA from 1 species
UACCUACGGGGCGCAGCAGUAGGGAAUUUUCGUCAAUGGGCGCAAGCCUGAACGAGCAAUGCCGCGUGAACGAGGAAGGUCUUCGGAUCGUAAAGUUCUGUUGAAGGGGAAAAAGAGCGGAGAGAGGAAAUGGUCUCCGAUUGAUAUUACCCUUCGAGGAAGUCACGGCUAACUACGUGCCAGCAGCCGCGGUAAUACGUAGGUGGCGAGCGUUAUCCGGAAUUACUGGGUGUAAAGGGAGCGUAGACGGCGAGGUAAGCCUGAAGUGGAAGCCCGCGGCCCAACCGCGGAACUGCUUUGGGCAC